rnacentral:rRNA from 1 species
UACGAAGGGGGGCUAGCGUUGUUUCGGAAUUACUGGGGCGUAAAGGGCGCGUAGGCGGUGUGUCAAGUCAAGGCCGUGAAAGCCCCGGGGCUCAACCUGGGAACCGCGCUUGAGACUGGCACGCUAGAGUUCGGGAGAGGAUGGUGGAAUUCCCAGUGUAGAGGUGAAAUUCGUAGAUAUUGGGAAGAACAACCGGAUGGCGCAAA